UGCACCCGCGACCCAGUCCCGGAUGAGCGGAUGAAGAUGAAUGGAUGGAUGGGUGGUCCUCUUUUCAUUUCUUAUUUUUCAUUUUUCGCUCCUUGUGUUAAAGUUGGACAGUGAGCCGUCAAAUUCAGUCACAGAGACACAGAAACACAGUGGAAGUGGCUGUCAUAGAAAACACAGCUCCCAGAGUGGGAUAGAAGCCCCCGGUACCAGAAAAUCUCAGAAUGAUCACAUAAAUCCAAACACGAAGGCCUCUUCACAAUAAAAGAACCUGAUCUCUCAACAUCGUUUCGUCCAUGUUUUCCAUACACUGUAGGUGAGAUAUACACAGGCACUGCUCCAUGUAGCGAUCAGGCUAAAUUUUCAUGCGUAUCGUAUUUGGUGUUAAUACAGUAUUACUAUGUAGUCCCAAGGAGGCCCAAGUCCGAAUCUCCCUGUGUCGGACGUCAACUUAUUGGUGCAAUUGACACUAAAAUGAGAAUAAAUGUCACAGUUUUGAACUAAAGACUUCAAAAUGUUCAAUUUUUAAUCAAAAUGAAAGUAUUUUUCAUUCAAAUUCCAUGUUUUUUAUUUCUCUUAUAAGGGAAAUGGCCAAUGCACUCCAUGCAUCUGCUCAUUUUUUGGCCCUUUUGGCAAAUUUUAGGACCCUACAAGUCAUAAAGUUGGCCCAUCCUAGCUUUAGAUUCCCAGCUUUUGUCUUGAUUUGAUGUAUUUCAACUCUUUUGGUAAAUCUGAUUUAAACCUGCUGUUCAUUUCUUAGUGAAGAUGUUGAGUUAAAAUAACUCAGAUCACGUGAAACACUUUGUCUCCCAAAUAAAACUUAGAGUUUUUUUUCCCUAGCUGGAUCUGACUUGUGUGAAACUCAUGAAUGUCACAGUUUUCAGAGCAAAUUCAGGAAGUAGCAUGAAACACCAGCAAAGUGUAGGAUUUGACUCCCACCUCCGCUCCCUCACACAUCACAGCGAUGGAGAAAUCACUCUGCAAACUUUGUCACACAUGUACAGGUUUGUGCUCAUAUAUAUAUAUACCAAAAAAAAAAACUUUUUUCUCUUCACACUUUCAGCUGAAACGCUUUUUAACAGGCCUGUUAACAUCACCCGGGGUUACCAUGGCAGCCACAUAAUGAGUGACAACGGGAGCGCGCUAUUUCAGGCUGGAUAUGCUCGGGAUUAAUGCGGGUCUAUUUGAGGUCAAGAUUAACUUCUGACUCUGAAAUUCCUAAUCGGCACAGUGAGGCUACAUCACCUUCUUCUCUCCAGUGAGGAGAAAAAAGGCGCCCUUCGGUGGGAGUUUGUUUUCACUGCCAAACAUGAAAUAUAGAAGAAGGUUAAAAGAAAAGAGAAGGAAGGGAAAAAAGAGGGGCAGUUUGGGCUUCUGGUGCCACAGUAGAUUCACCUGUUUGAUCAAGCUUACACAAAGGAGGGCGGAGCCUCAGUCUUGUGUGGAAAAAAAUCUCCUGAGAUAAUCUCCAUGGGUACCAGCUGAGCCAUUCUGGCUGAAGUCAUCUCCCUCCACAAUUGUUUUGCUGCACAUUAGAAGCUCCUUCCACCGUUUGUUUGUGAACUGCUGACAUUUGGAGACUGCCGGUCCGGCGAAACUGUCAAAAACAGGACAGCAGCGGCGUCCGAAGUUUAAAAUAGACUCCGCCUGACAACAACCGCGGCUAAUCAUCCGCGUCCCGAAAAGGCAAUGAGGUUUUCAUGCUUUUAAGCCAUAAUAAAGUCAAAUUAAAACAGCCUCCGCGC